rnacentral:tRNA from 1 species
AGGGGUAUAGCUCAGCAGCACAGCACCUGACUGGCAAGCAUGAGGCCCUGAGUUCAAUUCCCAGUUCCUCCC